rnacentral:lncRNA from 10 species
UUUUCCUUCACCAGGUUAAAAUGGACACAAAAAUGAGGAUGCAUUUAUUGGCCCUGUUUGCAUGUUUUCUGGAAUCCAGAACAUAAAACCCUAAAAGGACCAUCUCCAGUUCCUUGCUUCAAAGUCUCAGCAGGUUAGCCUAGAUCAUCGAGGGACAAUCCUCCUGAGUUCUGUCUCCAGAAAAAGCAUUGCCUACUACACAUACCUUACAUUUAACCAAGAGAAUUGGGCUGGAUUUCUAGAGAACAGCAAUGGAUUUUGAGCCAAGCGUUCACUUGAGUUCCAGCACAGGGACACACAGUCCCGAUGGGAGCAUUCAAAACUGAAUCUCCCAUGUUGAAAAAUAUACAUUGUUGGCCGGGCGCAGUGGCUUAUGCCUGUAAUCCCACCACUUUGGGUGGCUGAGGCGGGCGGCUCACAUGAAGUCAGGGGUUUCAGACCAGCCUGGCCAACAUGGUGAAAAAAAAAAUACAAAAGUAACCGGGCGUGGUGACGGGUGCCUGUGAUUCCAGCUACUCAGGAGGUUGAGGCAGAAGACUUGCUUGAACCUGAGAGGCAAAGGUUUGAGUGAGCCGAGGUCCUGCCACUGCCCUCUGGCCUGAGUGACAGUGAGACUCCAUCUCAAAACAAAUAAAUACAUGAAUAAAUAACAUGCAAAUAUUAGCCAGGCAUGGUGUCAGGCACCUAUAAUCCCAGCUACUCAGGAAUGUGAGGCAGGAGAACUGCCUAAAACUGGGAGGUGGAGGUUGCAGUGAGCUGAGAUCACGUCACUACACUCCAGCAUGGGUCACAGAGCAAGACUGUCCGAAAAAAGAGGACCAUUUGAGCCCAAGACACCUAGGUUGGAAGUGCCAACACACUCCAGCCUGGGCAAGAGACCCUAUCUUAGAAAAACAACAACAACAAAACAGGACCCCACCAUCCUCCAUGUCUGAUGGAAGCACGCUCUGCGAAGUUAUUACCAAGAUCAGCAUAACUUGUUGGGAGGCCAAGGUGGGCGAGUCACCUGAGGUCAGGAGUUCCAGACCAGCCUCGCCAACAAGGUAAAAUCCCAGCUCUAAAAAUACAAAAAAAAUUUUGCCAAGCGUGGUGACACGUGUCUGCAAUUGUACCUACUUGGGAGUCAGAAGUUGCAGGAGCAGAGACUGGGCCGCUGCACUCCACCCUGAGGGACAGAGUGAGAUACUGACUCAAAAAAAAAAAAAAAAAAAAAUUGCUUGAACCCAGGAGGCAGAGGUUGCAGUGAGCCGAGAUCACAUUAUUGCACUCCAGCUUGAGUGACAGAGUGACACUGCCUCACAAAGUCAAAGACAGAACAAAAGAACCCUCCUUGCCCUCUUCUUGCCUGUGCAUAGAUUAAAAUAUUCACCUGUAGUCCCAGAUACUAGGAAGAGGAGAGGGAGAGAGCACAUUCUACCCUGGGCGGCAUAGCGAGACCUCCGUUUCUAAAAUACAAAAAUUAAAUCAAUUGUACAUUGAUGACGUGCUCAUGUGCCCUACAUUUCAGCUUCAUUUACCCAAUAGAAACUCAAAGCCCACGCACUCCACCUUUGUGCUCUUGCUACGUAGUGAACAUCCCACCUGCAAGGGACACUGAGGUUCCCUUCAGCUCUACCUCAACCCAAGUCAAGGGAGGUUCUGUAAACCAGUGCAGGCAUAACUUCCACGGAGUAAAAGGUGUUGAGGGCUGGACGAACAGGCAUCGCUCACUACGGCAACAACGAGAGCUGCGGCGCAUCCCACCUGUUACUAGAGAGGUUCUGUAAACCAGUGCAG